rnacentral:rRNA from 1 species
UACGUAGGGUGCGAGCGUUGUCCGGAAUUAUUGGGCGUAAAGAGCUCGUAGGCGGUCUGUCGCGUCGGAUGUGAAAACUCGGGGCUCAACCCCCGAGCCUGCAUUCGAUACGGGCAGACUAGAGUUCGGUAGGGGAGACUGGAAUUCCUGGUGUAGCGGUGAAAUGCGCAGAUAUCAGGAAGAACACCCGUGGCGAAGGCGGCUCUCUGGUACGUGACUGACGCUGAGACGCGAAAGCGUGGGGAGCAAACAGG